GAGGAACAAGCUGCACUGUUGGAGCAACAAAAUGCAGAACUGGAGAAAAAACGUGCACUGCUGAAGCAACGAGAUGCAGCACUGGGUGAGUCUCUGUGAACUCCUCCUGGAUCAGUGUCCUCUCCUGGUCUCUCUGUACUCGACCCCUUCCCCUCUUGCCCAUCCUCUCCAUCCCUGCAUCCCCUGGAUCUGGGGAAACUGCAAUGGGAUGUGCCCAGAGGGAUGGGCAGCUUGCGAUCCCCAGACCAGGGAUGGGACCUUUGCCCUUCCCAGAGCCACUGUGGA